UACAGAGGUCUCAAGCGUUGUUCGGAUUCAUUGGGCGUAAAGGGUGCGUAGGUGGCGCGCUAAGUCAGGUGUGAAAUUUCGGAGCUUAACUCCGAAACUGCAUUUGAUACUGGCGUGCUUGAGGACUGGAGAGGAGACUGGAAUUCACGGUGUAGCAGUGAAAUGCGUAGAGAUCGUGAGGAAGACCAGUGGCGAAGGCGGGUCUCUGGACAGUUCCUGACACUGAGGCACGAAGGCCAGGGGAGCGAACGGG
rnacentral:rRNA from 1 species